rnacentral:rRNA from 1 species
CAGUCGCCGCGGUAACACGUAGGGUGCGAGCGUUAAUCGGAAUUACUGGGCGUAAAGCGUGCGCAGGCGGUUGUGUAAGACAGGUGUGAAAUCCCCGGGCUUAACCUGGGAACUGCGCUUGUGACUGCACAGCUAGAGUAUGGCAGAGGGGGGUGGAAUUCCACGUGUAGCAGUGAAAUGCGUAGAGAUGUGGAGGAACACCGAUGGCGAAGGCAGCCCCCUGGGCCAAUACUGAUGCUCAUGCACGAAAGCGUGGGGAGCAAACAGGAUUAGAUACCCCCGUAGUCCCUGUCUCUUAUAC